rnacentral:rRNA from 1 species
CCUACGGGGGGCUGCAGUGGGGAAUAUUGGACAAUGGGGGGAACCCUGAUCCAGCCAUGCCGCGUGUGUGAAGAAGGCCCUCGGGUUGUAAAGCACUUUCAGUGAGGAAGAACGCCUGGUGGUUAAUACCCAUCAGGAAAGACAUCACUCACAGAAGAAGCACCGGCUAACUCCGUGCCAGCAGCCGCGGUAAUACGGAGGGUGCGAGCGUUAAUCGGAAUUACUGGGCGUAAAGCGCGCGUAGGUGGCUUGAUAAGCCGGUUGUGAAAGCCCCGGGCUCAACCUGGGAACGGCAUCCGGAACUGUCAAGCUAGAGUGCAGGAGAGGAAGGUAGAAUUCCCGGUGUAGCGGCGAAAUGCGUAGAGAUCGGGAGGAAUACCAGUGGCGAAGGCGGCCUUCUGGACUGACACUGACACUGAGGUGCGAAAGCGUGGGUAGCAAACAGGAUUAGAUACCCCGGUAGUC